AGGUGAGGACGCUGAGACUCAGAGAGGUGAAGUGACUUGUCCAACGUCCCUGGGCUCCUUCUUGGAACCCAGAUCAUCCUCUCCCCUUCUAGUGCUCUUUCCACUUUAAACAGAGAUGGGACGGACCUUCUCAGGACUGUCUGAAGACAAUGCUUAAGUAUCCUUAGCAGGAAGCUGGCAUCUUCCAGAAAGAAGUGACUUUAAGUAAGGAGACGCAUCAGAUACAGCUCAUGGCACAGAGCCUGCCACAGAGCGAGCUGAGUCAAGGGCUCAGCUCACGGCAGGGACCUGGCCCGGAACAGAGCUCAGUACCCGGUAGGUGCCCGAGAGAGAAGUCAGUGUCCAGAACCCAGCGAAGGAUCUGGGGCUGCGAGGGCACUUGGACCCGGCGGAGCUGUCAGAUCAUACCUGGGCAUCCCAUCUCACCCCUCCCCAGACCUGAGAGCUGGAUGCCCUCCCGACCUCACCCUCAUACAGAGGUGGAAACAUGGCGCCCAGAGAGGUCCGAUGGUGGGAGGGCUGCGUACGAUGCCCCGGAAGCCUUGCCUAAAGGGGAAAUUGCCAUGAAAUCACACACCCCGUGGCCAUCGGCCACCUCCUCAUUUGUGGCUUGAUUUACAGCAUCGUGGGACCGUUGGAAUUUCUGCCUCGAGACCAUCUGGCCUAAUUACCCCCAUGGCUGGCACAGGGCCUGAAGCUGUUCUUGAAUGAGUCAAAGGAGCUUGUGGGUCCUCAGAAGACCCCUCUCCCAUGCCAC
rnacentral:lncRNA from 1 species